CCCGCCCCAGAGGCAUUGCAGGUGUGGCUGCUAUGUCACGUGUGUAUCAGUAGGUGGCAGAGAGGAGGGAGGCUAUGUCUACAUUCAGUGCUCUGACCUGUGAUCAUCCGAAUGUUAAUAGCCCGACAUU
ensembl:snoRNA LOC120102662 small nucleolar RNA SNORA17